GACGUAGGGCGCGAGCGUUGUCCGGAUUUAUUGGGCGUAAAGAGCUCGUAGGCGGCUCAGCAAGUCGGGUGUGAAACCUCCAGGCUCAACCUGGAGACGCCACCUGAUACUGCUGUGGCUAGAGUCCGGUAGGGGAACACGGAAUACCCGGUGUAGCGGUGAAAUGCUUAGAUAUCGGGUGGAACACCAGUGGCGAAGGCGGUGUUCUGGGCCGGAACUGACGCUGAGGAGCGAAAGCGUGGGUAGCAAACAGG
rnacentral:rRNA from 1 species